rnacentral:rRNA from 1 species
GACGAACGCUGGCGGCGUGCUUAACACAUGCAAGUCGAGCGAGGCCCCUCCUUCGGGAGGGUGUCCUAGCGGCGAACGGGUGAGUAACACGUGGGCAACCUGCCCUCAGCUCUGGGAUAACUCCGGGAAACCGGGGCUAAUACCGGAUACGACCUCCACGGGCAUCUGCGGAGGUGGAAAGUUUUUCGGCUGAGGAUGGGCCCGCGGCCUAUCAGCUAGUUGGUGGGGUAGUGGCCCACCAAGGCGACGACGGGUAGCCGGCCUGAGAGGGCGACCGGCCACAGAGAGAGUGCUACAGCGGCCACGCUGAGGCGGGGGGCGGAGGGGGGGUACAAUGGGCAGUGGGCGACCGCCGGACGCAGGGGCGGCGGGAGGGGGACGAAGGCUUUCGUGUUGUAAGCCUCUAAGAGGAGGGAAGAAGGGGAAGGGAACGCGACUGCAGAAGCAACCCCGCCACACUCCGGGCCGGCAGCCGCGAGAUAACGAGGAGCACGCGUCAGAAC